rnacentral:rRNA from 1 species
UACGGAGGGUGCAAGCGUUAUCCGGAUUCACUGGGUUUAAAGGGUGCGUAGGUGGGCAGUUAAGUCAGUGGUGAAAUCUCCGGGCUCAACCCGGAAACUGCCAUUGAUACUAUCAGUCUUGAAUAUCGUGGAGGUAAGCGGAAUAUGUCAUGUAGCGGUGAAAUGCUUAGAUAUGACAUAGAACACCAAUUGCGAAGGCAGCUUACUACCCGAAUAUUGACACUGAGGCACGAAAGCGUGGGGAGCAAACAGG